GACAGAGGGUGCGAACGUUGUUCGGAAUUACUGGGCGUAAAGCGCAUGUAGGCGGCAGCGCAAGUCGGGCGUGAAAUCCCACGGCUCAACCGUGGAAGUGCACUCGAAACUGCGCAGCUAGAGUCCUGGAGAGGAAGGUGGAAUGCUUGGUGUAGAGGUGAAAUUCGUAGAUAUCAAGCGGAACACCGGUGGCGAAGGCGGCCUUACUGGACAGUGACUGACGCUGAGAGUGCGAAAGCGUG
rnacentral:rRNA from 1 species